GUGGGAUGGGUGAUUAUAUCUGCCAUUGAUCAUAUUUUGAGCAUUAUGCACUUUCUACGCUGGCAGUUUCAGAUAAACCGACUAUAUAUCGGUAAUCAGAAUAUGUCGAUCAUAUGUCGGUAGUUGUGGAAAUUCGAAUGAGCAUCGAUCGGUAACUCUGAUAUACCGAUGGUCAUCGAUCUGAGAUCAACCGAGUUGUCAUGGCUGAGUUUGUUGA
rnacentral:lncRNA from 1 species